GUGCUUGCUUCGGCAGCACAUAUACUAAAAAUUGGAAUGAUACAGAGAAGAUUAGUAACCUGCACAAGGAUGACACGCAAAUUCGUGAAGAAAUCUGGGUUUUG